CAGCAGCCACGGUAAUACGAGGGGGGCAAGCGUUGUUCGGAAUUAUUGGGCGUAAAGGGUGCGUAGGCGGCGGCCAAAGUCAGGCGUGAAAUUCCCGGGCUCAACCUGGGGGCUGCGUUUGAUACUUGGUUGCUUGAGUGGGGAAGAGGGUCGUGGAAUUCCCAGUGUAGAAGUGAAAUUCGUAGAUAUUGGGAAGAACACCGGUGGCGAAGGCGGCGACCUGGUCCUUGACUGACGCUGAGGCGCGAAAGCAUGGGGAGCAAACAGGAUUAGAUACCCCGGUAGUCCCUGUCUCUUAUAC
rnacentral:rRNA from 1 species